CCUACGGGAGGCAGCAGUGGGGAAUAUUGCACAAUGGGGGAAACCCUGAUGCAGCGACGCCGCGUGAGUGAAGAAGUAAUUCGGUAUGUAAAGCUCUAUCGGCAGGGAAGAAAAUGACGGUACCUGAGUAAGAAGCCCCGGCGAACUACGUGCCAGCAGCCGCGGUAAUACGGAGGGGGAAAGCGUUAUCCGGGUUUACGGGGUGUAAAGGGAGCGUAGACGGCAGUGCAAGUCUGGAGUGAAAGGCGGGGGCUCAACCCCCGGACUGCUCUGGAAACUGUACGGCUGGAGUGCAGGAGAGGUAAGUGGAAUUCCUAGUGUAGCGGUGAAAUGCGUAGAUAUUAGGAGGAACACCAGUGGCGAAGGCGGCUUACUGGACUGUAACUGACGUUGAGGCUCGAAAGCGUGGGGAGCAAACAGGAUUAGAUACCCUAGUAGUC
rnacentral:rRNA from 1 species